UUGGAGGGCAAGUCUGGUGCCAGCAGCCGCGGUAAUUCCAGCUCCAAUAGCGUAUAUUAAAGUUGUUGCAGUUAGAAAGCUCGUAGUUGAAUUUCGGGGUUAGUAGGCUGGUCAUGCCUCUGGUAUGUACUGGUCUCACUGAUUCCUCCUUCCUGAUGAGCCGUAAUGCCAUUAAUUUGGUGUUGCGGGGAACUUGGACUGUUACUUUGAAAAAAUUAGAGUGUUUAAAGCAAGCUAACGCUUGAAUACAUUAGCAUGGAAUAAUGAAAUAGGACGUUCGAUCCUAUUUUGUUGGUUUCUAGGAUUGACGUAAUGAUUAAUAGGGAUAGUUGGGGGCAUUAGUAUUCAAUUGUCAGAGGUGAAAUUCUUGGAUUUAUUGAAGACUAACUACUGCGAAAGCAUUUGCCAAGGAUGUUUUCAUUAAUCAAGAACGAAAGUUAGGGGAUCGAAGACGAUCAGAUACCGUCGUAGUCUUAACCAUAAACUAUGCCGACUAGGGAUCGGAUGAUGUUAAUUUUUUAAUGACUCAUUCGGCGCCUUACGGGAAACCAAAGUGUUUGGGUUC
rnacentral:rRNA from 1 species